AGUUUCCCUCCACUCCUCUCACCUACACUUCCUACUCCCCGCCUCCUUUCUUCAGGAAAGUUCUUAAUGGACAAGAAAGAGGGUACCAGAAAGGCCAGGUUUCUUAGCUUGUCCUGCAAAGGUUUCAGAUCUUUCUGGCCCUUCCUUGGGUCGCCCUUCGCCUUGCUUCCCGCUCUCACUCACUGAACUUGGGACAGGUGGGUGCUGGACUCCUCUGUGCCCCCGUGUCUUCGCUUUAUAGAAUGGGGGUGAUAACCCUACUUCCAGUCACUGCGGAGAGAAUGAAACAUGUUAAUCCACGUCACAGCACGGUAUCCGGCUUGCAGAAAUCACUCGAUAAAUGGCACUUGAACCUAAUUCUGGCUAGGAGCAUGUUCAGAUUAUGUACUGAAUCAAAAGCUGCCAUCAGGACUUCUCAAAGAAAUAAAUACAAGAUUUUUUUCAUUAUAGAGAGAGCUUAAAAGGAACAGAACAAUUUAUAAUAAAAGCCAUAUACUUGCAAAAUCAUUUUCUAUCUCCCAUUUUGGCCUGUUCCUGUGAGCUGUUGUUGAUUUCCUCUGGGUCAUCUCCUUGCCCUGUAAGGUCACCUACCCCAAUGAAUAGGAAAGGGAAGUGGGCAGUGAAUUGGACUCACUUGAGAAAAUGAGGGCUGCACGGUAGUGAGGCACAGCUAAUUACUCUUCCCAGGGCGCCUGCGACCAAGUGCAUUCAAGAAACUAAAUGA